CCCUACGCUGCUUGUGCGCCAUAUUUGAUACGAUUCUCUUGGUUUUCUACGUUUUCUACGUUAAACUACUUGAUUGACGUAAUAUACGUCAAAAACCUCGAAAGUCGUGAAACUACCCUACCCUGGUCGAGUUCUCUUGAGAAAGAACAAUAAACUAGACCGGUGACAACAAUGUAAAGUUAACAGCCUUCUACUUUAUCAUACGUCAAUGUUUUGUGCCUGUAUGACGUUUUUGGAUUGUACCGCGAAGAUAUAACAAUUUAAAAUGAUGGAUAUUGUUGGGGAAUCUGGGUCGGAGGAGGGUCAGGAGAGAUCGAGUUGUUUGAAUUCAGCGACAGUGGUUCGAGUACCGGUGAAACAUGCAAAUCUGGGCAUUCGAAGUCAUGCCAUGGAUAUGAGCACGAUGGUAGAACUAACGUCAUUUAGCACACUUGGGAAGAUACAACCAUUCCUGGUAACGAUUUCCACAACCGCUGCUCUUGUAGUCGAUUUACAUUGUCACCUCUCCGAUAAAGAAGUAUGCGGUUACUUAGGUGGGCACUGGGAUAUUAAUGCACAUAAUCUUGCAAUCACAAAUGCAUUUCCCUGUAGGUAUGCAGGAAAGGAUAAACAAGCUGCGUCUUUGGUAGAGUUAGAAAUUGCAAGAGCUAUGGAAUGGAAGCGAACGACACUGGUGGGCUGGUAUCACUCUCAUCCCCGUUCACACGCUUCACCCUCUUUACGGGAUGUAGAUUCGCAAUUGGAUUAUCAGAUAAAAAUGAAAGGAAUCAGCGAUAAUGGUUAUACUCCAUGCGUUGGACUGAUUUGCUCACCUUAUAACACCGAUGGGAAUUGCUACGAAUCAAACUUCAAUGUCUUUUGGUCGAUGCCACCUCCUGAAAACAGGCCCCAUGAAUAUCCCAGACCAAUGCUUCUCAGUUAUUCCUUGUCGCAAGAACACUUUCUCCCUCAAGAUGCUCUCGAGGAAAUUAAAAAGUGCAUAGACUAUUACAAAUCCGAAGGUGGUAUCGACUUUAUGGCUACGUUUAAUGGAAACACAACAUAUCUCGAGCGUUUAAGGAGCUCUUUAGCAUCCAAGCUUCCUGGACGUAACCAAUCAAACGGCUCGUACUGGGAUGUAAUCAGAGAGAUGAUUUGCCCUGGAGCCGAAGACCCUCCACCCGAUCCAUUCAUCUCCAGUGCUACUACAUCGAUGAAGUAUUCCUUGAUGACCGAUUCCCUAAACCAGCCCAGCAGUUUAAGCGCAAACAGUCUCUUCCUGGCACCGGCCAAGUUCAAGACAGACAAUUCGAGCAAUCCCUCGACUUCCCGGGAUAAGGACGAUGGUGUAGCUGAAGUUACUCCGAUCUACGCGAUGGCAGCGAAGGACUCGAGUUUAGGAUCGAAGCACAGACUUCAAGCCGAUCCAGUUCCCAGCUUCCAGUCGGGCGAGCUGACGGUGUCCGUAAAAAAUACGAAGUGUGAGUACGAGUUCCCGUCCAGUGGCGAUUUCUCGAAGAUAUCGAGCCUCUUGGGCGACUCGUCGAGCAAAUUCAGGCCCGCGACCGGCGACUUCCCGCUGGCCGACAUAUCGCAGGUCACCAAGUUCUCCGAGCUCAGCAAACUCGCGAACUUCUCGACCGCGGACCUGGCGAAGCUCUCCGGCUUCGCCCUGAACGACUUCACGAAGAUGUCCCCGUACGUAUGCAACAUUGCUAACUUAUUCGGUCCACCGGGCAAGGUGUCGAAGGAGGUCGACCCCGGUGAGAGGAAAGUCGACGACUUCGCGACGGCCGUGGCCGUUCGCCAGUCCUUCAAGGCUCCUAUGUCUGCAGAAGCCGGCAUGGACGACUUCUCGAUGGAUCAUAAAAAGCCCCUCGACUUGGGCGAAGGUCCCAAGAGACCGACGGAUUACUCCUCCGAGGACUUGACCGUCUCCGGCGUCAAGUCCGACUUCGGAGCGAUGCUCGACAUGACGACCUUGCACGCGAAGAAGCAACAGCAAGGCGAGUGUGACUCCUUGAACCUUUCGAAAGACCGACAAUAAUUUCUGCCACUCUGUAGUCUAAGUGUCGGGCUGUGUUAAGCCUUGGAGAGGAGCGUCCUCUUGGCGGAAAAUGGGCACCCACUGACAUCCACUAUCGGUUCUCGUUACUUUUGCGUUUCACUUCUGCAAGCGGACUCCAAGCCUACGGCAUGACGAACUUGGAUCUC
rnacentral:misc_RNA from 1 species